GAUGAAGAACGUAGCGAAAUGCGAAAAGUAAUGUGAAUUGCAGAAUUCAGUGAAUCAUCGAAUCUUUGAACGCACAUUGCGCCCGCCAGUAUUCUGGCGGGCAUGCCUGUCUGAGCGUCAUUACAACCCUCAGGCCCCCGGGCCUGGCGUUGGGGAUCGGCGGAAGCCCCCUGCGGGCACAACGCCGUCCCCCAAAUACAGUGGCGGUCCCGCCGCAGCUUCCAUUGCGUAGUAGCUAACACCUCGCAACUGGAGAGCGGCGCGGCCACGCCGUAAAACACCCAACUUCUGAAUGUUGACCUCGAAUCAGGUAGGAAUACCCGCUGAACUUAAGCAUAUCAAUAAGCGGAGGA
rnacentral:misc_RNA from 1 species